CCUACGGGUGGCUGCAGUGGGGAAUAUUGCGCAAUGGGCGAAAGCCUGACGCAGCGACGCCGCGUGAGGGAUGAAGGUCUUCGGAUCGUAAACCUCUGUCAGCAGGGAAGAACGGUCACUGUGCUAAUCAGCAGUGACUUGACGGUACCUGCAAAGGAAGCACCGGCUAACUCCGUACCAGCAGCCGCUGUAAUACGGAGGGUGCGAGCGUUAAUCGGAAUUACUGGGCGUAAAGCGCUCGUAGGCGGUAUGUCAAGUCAAGGGUGAAAUCCCCGCGCUCAACGUGGGAACUGCCUUUGAAACUGGCAAACUGGAGUGUGUGAGAGGAUAGUGGAAUUCCAGGUGUAGGAGUGAAAUCCGUAGAUAUCUGGAGGAACAUCAGUGGCGAAGGCGACUAUCUGGCACAUAACUGACGCUGAGGAGCGAAAGCGUGGGUAGCAAACAGGAUUAGAUACCCUGGUAGUC
rnacentral:rRNA from 1 species